rnacentral:rRNA from 1 species
GAUGAACGCUGGCGGCGUGCUUAACACAUGCAAGUCGAACGGGAAACUUUUCAUUGAAGCUUCGGCAGAUUUGGUCUGUUUCUAGUGGCGGACGGGUGAGUAACGCGUGGGUAACCUGCCUUAUACAGGGGGAUAACAACCAGAAAUGGUUGCUAAUACCGCAUAAGCGCACAGGACCGCAUGGUUUGGUGUGAAAAACUCCGGUGGUAUAAGAUGGACCCGCGUUGGAUUAGCUAGUUGGCAGGGUAACGGCCUACCAAGGCGACGAUCCAUAGCCGGCCUGAGAGGGUGAACGGCCACAUUGGGACUGAGACACGGCCCAGACUCCUACGGGAGGCAGCAGUGGGGAAUAUUGCACAAUGGGGGAAACCCUGAUGCAGCGACGCCGCGUGAAGGAAGAAGUAUCUCGGUAUGUAAACUUCUAUCAGCAGGGAAGAUAGUGACGGUAC